GGCAUGGAACUUCAGUGUGACAGCUGAGUUUAUUAGAUACAAAACCAACCCACUUUCUUGGGGAGUCUUGGUGAUUCAUAGUAACCGAACGGAUCGCAGUUGUUUUUCGGGCCCGCGAUGGAUCAUUCAAGUUUCUGACCUAUCAUCUUUCGACGGGAAGGUAUUGGCCUACCGUGGCAGUGACGGGUAACGGGGAAUUAGGGUUCCAUUCCGGAGAGGGAGCCUGAAAAACGGCUACCACAUCUAAAGAAGGCAGCAGGCGCGCAAAUUACCCAAUGAAAACUUUUUCGAGGUAAUGACAAAAAAUAACAAUACAGGGUAUUUUAUGCUUUGUAAUUGGAAUGAUGGGAAUGUAAAACCCCUCCAAAAUAACCAUUGGAGGGCAAGGCUGGUGCCAGCCGCCGCGGUAAUUCCCCCUCCAAUAGUGUAUAAUAAAGUUGUUGCAAUUAAAAAGCUCGUAGUUGGAUUUCUGGCGUGGUCCGCCUGCGCUGCCCGGAUGGGUGGGCGCGUGGUUUGCCCUCCGCAUUCUUUCGGUAGCUUGUGGCGCUUAAUUUGGGCUGCGAGUUGUCCGGAACUUUUUCUUUGAAAAAAAUAGAAUGGUUUCAAACAA
rnacentral:rRNA from 1 species